GCCUCUCGCCUCAGGUGGAUCGGGGAUGAGAUGGAUAAAAACUGGACGGUUGGAUCUCGAGAUAACAGAUAUAAUGAGAAACUUGGGUUAAAUAGAGAAGCCCGCUUUAGAGGCUUUGUAUGCACAGCAAUACAAAUCACCGUCCUCAUAAUCUUUCUUAGAAAGCGACACCUGUAGAUGUAAGUCACUGCAACGGCAAAACCAGCAACAGAUGGUGCCUUCAGGAUCCUGAGGAGAGAGAGCUGUCAGAAUAUUUGCACUGAGAAAAAGGAUGACAGCCAGCCACAGCCAGCCGAGGUUCAGUGUGCACCGAGGUCAUAAUAACCAUACCCCACAAUCGGCAAGACAGUUAGGAACAGGGUACAUUUUUUGUACUUUGUUGGCUAAGGAAAAUGUUGUGCUUCGGAAUUCAUGUGACAUAACAUUAUGUCACAGAGAUUAAGUAACAUUUUCAGUUCUUGUUUUAUGGGUAUAAGAUAGUAGUACUGUGUGAAUACAUUUUUAAUUGCGUUAUUUCCCAGGUUAUUUUAUUGUUUGACUCACUGCUUGGAAUUCAGUAGGAUUUAACAGACAUAAAUUGUGUUAGUAUAAUCACUCUCUGGCGGUUUUUCCCAGAAUAAAACGGUGACGUCAUCCUCCCUUGACCGUUACCAAAGGAAAAACGUACUAGAAUUGCCCACGCGACUGUCAUUACGUGGACGACCUUACACUUGAAUGAUCGAUGCACUAAUACACGAUGUCAAUUACCUAACUGAAAAAGCUUACUUGUAUUAAAAAAAUACAUGUUUCUACUUUUUAGACGCCCAAAGGAGACAUUUGAGCAAUCUGGAAAUGGUGCUCUGUGGAGAAAUAGCACUACUUUUUACAUAAGGUUCUGUAAUAAUUAGAGACCAUGCAAAGUCUGGAUUCUAUCCUUACUAAAUAUGAAAGUCAAUUUGUAAAGGUUUUUUUCUGCAGUAAUUUUUAUUAGGUGAAUAAUGAUGUUAGUUGUAUCAAAUAUUGAUAAGGAAAAAAAUAAGUCAAAUCAACUGUUCUAUUUUUUGAACUUUUGAAAUUGGCUGGAGGCUCAGCAUUGUUAAGGCAGAUAAUGUUUAUGAAACCAUGCAAGAAAUCUUGUGUGCAAAAAUAAGGGCAUGCUAUUCAUGUUUACAGUACAUAAGCUGUUUUUAUAUAUCGCAAAAAACUGUAGUUUUCAAUUGCAGUGCUGAAUCUGUGUCUUUUAUAAAGAAUGUGUUCUUUACAUGCUAUUUACAUUUGUAUUACAUUGUGAAUUCUGUGCUCACUCUGGAUAAUAAAAGUUUCAAAGUAAAAAUGCUUUCAUGCUAUCAUUGUUAUGCAAAAAGUAAUGACAACAUAAAACAUUCAACAAAUGCUGAACAAUACUGCUUCAACCAUGGUUUCAUUGAAAAAUCUGAUACAUACUGAAAACACACAACUUGUUUUCGAGUUUCUCAAAUGUUUUGGUAGGUCUGAUGUCAUCAAACAUAAGCUGUAUCUUUACUAGAAAUCAGGUGAAAUGUAUAACACGUAAAUUGUUGCAAGAAUGGUCACAUUAGUGAAAGAUCUACAAAAUACAUCAGCAAAUUAGCAAUUCAUGUGCUGACAUAAGCUACCCUGUACAAUAAUACUGACCAAUAGCACACUGCUGUGCUGCACGGAGAUAAGUUCACAUUCUAUUUCUUUGCAAGGAUGGAUGAGACAACUGUAUAG